GGCGAACGGGUGAGUAACACGUGGGUGAUCUGCCCUGCACUUUGGGAUAAGCCUGGGAAACUGGGUCUAAUACCGAAUAGGACCGCAUGCUUCAUGGUGUGUGGUGGAAAGCUUUUGCGGUGUGGGAUGGGCCCGCGGCCUAUCAGCUUGUUGGUGGGGUAAUGGCCUACCAAGGCGACGACGGGUAGCCGGCCUGAGAGGGUGUCCGGCCACACUGGGACUGAGAUACGGCCCAGACUCCUACGGGAGGCAGCAGUGGGGAAUAUUGCACAAUGGGCGCAAGCCUGAUGCAGCGACGCCGCGUGAGGGAUGACGGCCUUCGGGUUGUAAACCUCUUUCAGCAGGGACGAAGCGCAAGUGACGGUACCUGUAGAAGAAGCACCGGCCAACUACGUGCCAGCAGCCGCGGUAAUACGUAGGGUGCGAGCGUUGUCCGGAAUUACUGGGCGUAAAGAGCUCGUAGGUGGUUUGUCGCGUUGUUCGUGAAAACUCACAGCUCAACUGUGGGCGUGCGGGCGAUACGGGCAGACUUGAGUACUGCAGGGGAGACUGGAAUUCCUGGUGUAGCGGUGGAAUGCGCAGAUAUCAGGAGGAACACCGGUGGCGAAGGCGGGUCUCUGGGCAGUAACUGACGCUGAGGAGCGAAAGCGUGGGGAGCGAACAGGAUUAGAUACCCUGGUAGUCCACGCCGUAAACGGUGGGUACUAGGUGUGGGUUUCCUUCCUUGGGAUCCGUGCCGUAGCUAACGCAUUAAGUACCCCGCCUGGGGAGUACGGCCGCAAGGCUAAAACUCAAAGAAAUUGACGGGGGCCCGCACAAGCGGCGGAGCAUGUGGAUUAAUUCGAUGCAACGCGAAGAACCUUACCUGGGUUUGACAUGCACAGGACGCCGGCAGAGAUGUCGGUUCCCUUGUGGCCUGUGUGCAGGUGGUGCAUG
rnacentral:rRNA from 2 species